AGAACGAACGCUGGCGGCAUGCCUAAUACAUGCAAGUCGAACGAACUCUUCGGAGUUAGUGGCGCACGGGUGCGUAACGCGUGGGAAUCUGCCCCUUGGUUCGGAAUAACAGUUGGAAACGACUGCUAAUACCGGAUGAUGACGAAAGUCCAAAGAUUUAUCGCCAAGGGAUGAGCCCGCGUAGGAUUAGCUAGUUGGUGAGGUAAAGGCUCACCAAGGCAACGAUCCUUAGCUGGUCUGAGAGGAUGAUCAGCCACACUGGGACUGAGACACGGCCCAGACUCCUACGGGAGGCAGCAGUAGGGAAUAUUGGACAAUGGGCGAAAGCCUGAUCCAGCAAUGCCGCGUGAGUGAUGAAGGCCUUAGGUUGUAAAGCUCUUUUACCCGAGAUGAUAAUGACAGUAUCGGGAGAAUAAGCCCCGGACUAACUCCGUGCCAGCAGCCGU
rnacentral:rRNA from 1 species